rnacentral:rRNA from 1 species
AUACGGAGGAUCCGAGCGUUAUCCGGAUUUAUUGGGUUUAAAGGGUGCGCAGGCGGGAGAUUAAGUCGGCGGUGCAAUUUUUCAGCUCAACUGUAAACGUGCCUUCGAAACUGGUUUCCUUGAGUGUAGAUGAAGGAGGCGGAAUUUGGGGGGUAGCGGUGAAAUGCUUACAUAUCACGAGGAACUCCGAUUGCGCAAGCAACAUACUAAACUACUACUGACGCUCAGGCACGAAGGCGUGGGGAUCAAACAGGAUUAGAUGCCCUUGUAGUCCACGCAGUAAACGAUGAUUACUAGCUGUUUGCGAUACAAUGUAAGCGGCUGAGCAAAAGCGUUAAGGAAUCCACCUGGGGAGUUCGUUCGCAAGAAUGAAACUCAAAGGAAUUUACGGGG